UGCGUUUCUGCUCUCUGCUCAGCCGUCCCAGCCCGGACCCCAGCCCCGGCGCUGUCUGCAGCAAAAAGGAAGAAGAAACCACAAACAUUUUCUUCCUGGAGCCAACCAGCAUCAAAGAGGCAACCUCUGGCGAGGGCUGCACGGCCGCUGCAUCUGGCAUCCUGCGUGCUGUGGGAAUGCAACCCUUCAGCCCGUCCUGCGCUGGGAAAGCCGCUGGAAACGGGGGGGAGCUCCUUCUGGAUUUGAUAACCCUCAGCAAGUCCCUUAGCAGAAGGGGAGAGCCUCAGCUCCAGCAGCGUACCCUCACCCACCACGGGCACUGCAGCCCGGCACGCCGCGGCACUGGGGCAGAAGAUUUCGUGGGGUGCUUCAGAGCCAGGAACCAAAAGAAAACAGAGAGAAGAAUAGAAGAAAACAGGCCUCUAUUCACCUGCCCCGUUCUCUAACUGGCUGCAUGGUGAGCUCAGGGUCCAGAUGAAGGGUGAGCACUCACGGAGCCCAGGGUGCACGGGACAGACGCGAAAGGCUGGCAGCAGCAGGAGCUCAGGAAGACACAACGCUGUUUUGGGAUCCUCCAGAGCAGCUUGCCUAACUCCAGCCUACCCAAUCACACAUGAGACACCCUCUCCCUCCUACAGCCUGCCUUGCAUACCCCCAAACCGGCUCCGGGGCCAGUUUAUAAACCCACAGUGCCGCCCUCUCGCCAGCUGCAGGGAAUCAGCCCUUCCCAGCCGGUCCAUCCCCUCGCUGCCUUUGCAGGUGGGAUCCCAUCCCCAUUAAUCCCCCAGCCCCAAGCCCUCGCUGCCCCAGCAGCUUUGGCCCUGCCCCAGGCUCUCCCCCCGGUGCCCCAGGUUCUUGCUGGCCGUGGCAAACAGCAUCUGCCUUCACUCCGUGGUAGAAACUUCUACGCCCUGAUGCCAAAGUGUUUCCAGAAAUUUGAGAACACAUGAAAAUGUUUGCAUCCUAACUCUAGAAGGAAAUAAUAAUUGCAACAUAAUUGCAUUAGGGCCAACUGCAAAUUAUCCGGGAGUGGAAAAUGAGGAGGUUAAAGCUGACUAAGUAAACAAUACAAAUUAAAGAUGCAACAGCCGGCGUAGCCAUGUGUUACGAAUAAAACUCAGGUUUAACCUGGAAAGUCAAAACCAUUUUAGGUUGUGUGUGCAGACACAGUGGGUAGUCUCUGCUCUCCCUCAUGUACAGCCCCAAAUGAGUGACCCCCUACAAUUACAAACCUGGAAUCCAAAUUUAUCCCAUCCCACAGCCUAUUAAGAUAAAGAAACCUAAAUUUCUGUUUUAUUUCAAACGCCCAGUGUAGUGAGCAUAAGCAGCCGUGCCAUGUCGCCUCCGCUCGUGAACGGCAAUUUGGUGAUUUAACUCUGAAAUGCUGCUGCCGAGUCUUCAAAAAAGGCACCACAGGCCUGGAUGGGAAAAAAAAAAAAAAAAAAUCGCUUUAGGGAGGAGCAGAACAAAUCAGGCCUGAACCAACCACGCUUCACACGUGUAGGGAAAGGCUUCAAUGCCAAUGCAUGUAUUUAUUUUUUAUAAUUAUAAACCAGGGGUUCAGCGCGCUGGGGCCGCACGCUGCCUGAGCGAGGCAUUGCCAACAAGACGAUGCUCUGCCGUACUCCUCGUUGUAACGGCACAAAAUGCUGCUCAGCCCAUGGCCCUGCUUUGCAGGGCCGGUAUGUCAGUGGGCAUUAACCAGCUUUCAGGCAUCAGACCAGUGAAAAGGCACAUUUUCCAGUGUCCAGCCCGUCAGGGAGACCGGAUCGAGCCAGGACAGGUCACCCCGAGGGACCCCCAGCCACAGUGGCUGUGCCAGUGGCACCGCUGGAGAUGCCCAUCUGUGACUGCUGUGCCUUUUUCUCUUUUCUCUUUUUUUUUUUUUUUUUCCUAAUGUGAAGGAAGGAAGGAAUAAAACCAUAUGUUUGGGGAGGUCGAGGACAGACUCCAGGAAAGUUUUGUUCUGGGUUAAUGUUAAACAUUUCACUGGCACUUUGUCUCCGUGUGUGCGUGUGCAUUGUUGGUCUUUGUUUUAAGCAGGCCGUCAUAGUUAUCCCACAGCACUGAAAGUAAAUAAACCUCCAACAAAGCGUUUAGGCAGCUUUCACAGCUAAAUUCAUCCUCCUAUCAUUUUUUUUUUUUUCCCUUUGUUUAGGAGCCACUGGGGAGUAAAGGAAAUGUUUAUCUUUGAGGCACAGAGCUGUGCUGAAAUCAUCUUUAUUUUUUUAAUUACGAUGGGUUUUAAGGUCAAUCCCAAACUUUGCUGGAGAGCUGAAGUUCCUCCUGUAAAAUUCCCUAAAGCGUCUAAGGCGGGACCCCUCCAGGAGUGGAGAUUUCCCUGGAAAGGUGCCUUGUGUUUUGGUUGGGCUGCAGCUCCCGGGGUUGGUGUGUUUGAACCAGCCCAGGUGGGAGGGGAGGGCAGCGCAGCCUGGGGGGGACCUGCCCAGCACAUUUUGCCAAAAAAAAAAAAAAAAAAAAUCCCUCCUGGGUUCCCCCCUUGAUUUUCCCAGAAAAGCAUCAUUUAGAAGGAAAUCUCCAGCCUGGCAAGAGAUGAUAUAAAAAGCAGCUACAUUUCCCAAACAGGGGGUUUCUGGCUAAUUCAGAGCAUCGUUACCGGGGCUGUCUGAUCUCCUGUUAUUAUUUAUUUCAUACUUAGGUAUUCCUCUGGCUUCACAUCAUUUCUGCUCCUCCUCUGAACCUCCCCCCACCCCUUUGCUGUACUUGUAAAGAAUGCCAAAAUUUCCAAUUUUUCAGGCUUCCAUUUUGGGUUUGCUCUGCAAGCCACGGGCUCCUCUCCUGCCCCCCACUUCGUCCUAGCACCUCUGCUUUGCCCACCCUGGGACAGGUCCCCACGUCCCUCGGGACAGAGGUGGCAGUGACACAAACCUCGCCUUGACUUGCAGCUGUUUGCGCUUGGCUGGGUAAGCACCUUCGAAGCAAGCGCCUCUCUGCUCUGAGGCAGAGCGCCCGCUGGAGCCAGCGAUUGGGAUUUUGAAAAGCAGCCUUUAUUCCUAAGAGGUUCAGGCAAAACACCAAAGUUUCACAGCAGCAUUUGGGCUUGCAAGGGCAUUUUCACCUGCAGCGCAGCACAACUGCUAACUGCUUGCAGCAAGAAACAUAAAGGAACUGACCGCUGACUUCACUAGACAUUGGUGCUUUAAAAAAUGAGUAUUUUAUGCUUCGUAAACAUGAUGAAUGAGAGGCACGUCUCAUUUAUCACCUAAAUAGCACUAUCAGUGCCCGCUCUAUGCUGCAGGCUGGAUUCUGGCACGGGUGAUGGACAGUGCUCUCAGCCCAGGCGAUAAACAGAUCGAUAAGAAAAUGCAGCCCAGGGGGCUGGAGGUGCAACAAGGCACCCAUGGUUUCAAAAACUUGCUGAGACCCUUAUUAAAUUCAUUUCUGCAUCUGGAAACAAUUGGUGCCUUGCUGGGCUACAUGUAGCUGCAAAAUAUUGGUCUGAAGAAGGCGUGAAACACGACGCUGCCCCGGGAGAGCAGCCUGGGGCUCUAUUGGAAGAGCAAGAAGCAGGGAAAUCUAAAAUGCAAUUAACUUUAAUAAUAAAAAAAAAGAAAAAUCAAAACAACCCCACGCCCUUCUACAACUGAGCACAUCAAAGCCCGAGAAUGGGAGGCAAGACAGACUGUGGGAGGAUGGAUGGAUUGCCCCGGUGUCACAAAAGAAACUUUACAAGUGAUGCAAUACUGAAACGACGCAUUUUUUUGGGGGGGUGGGGGGUAGGGUUGCAUCUUUGCAACCUAAUCUUUUUUAGAGCCUCUUUGCACUUCACCCUCUCAUGAAGCAGAGCCCACAAGCCAUCCCUGGGCAGAGACGUUUUUAAGCUACGCCGGCCGUCCAUGGCUCGGGAGCAAGAGCAAAAUCACCCCUGCUACAGGGCACGCGGGCUGUGGCCGCGUCACCCAGGGCUUAUGCCAGUUUGUCUCUUGUCCCUGCAGCCCUUUGGGCCAGCCCGGGAGCUGCCAAAUCCACGCAGAGUCGGUCCUUUUUUUCCCCGAGUGACCCGGCACAGCCUGAAGUCGCUGCCGUCCCGGCCGCCGCCGUGCUCGGGGCUGGAGCGCACCGGCCGGGUUGGCUUUCACGGGGCACCCCGGCCACCUCCAGCCUUGGAGGGAGCCACCCCGUGUCCCCCUGGGUGGGUGCUGCCCGACUCGGUCCGUGUUCGUGGGGUUAAGGGCACUCCUUUCUCAAAAGCCUCUAGAUGGCAAUCGCUUGCAGCGCUGCCGAGGCGCCUCUUCCCGCUGCCGACACGGAGCUCGCUGGGAAAGCUGUGGCUUGUAGAGCCAGGGACCCUUGCUGUUGCAUCCUGCCCGGGGAGAAAGGAUGCUCUGAGCCAUUUUCAGCAUCCUUUUUGUGUUGCUACCUGCUAGUUUUCUGUGCGGGGAGGGGGGUACAGCACCUCCCCUCUCCUGGGGACCCAGCUCCCACGUUGUUUUGGGAGCAAGGAGCAGGAGGGCGAGGUGGAGAGGGCAUCUCAAGCCUGCCAUCUGCCCCAACACCAGCAUCGGUGUCCUGCGGGGGCCUAACAUACACGGAGAAAAAUAAUAAUUAAAUCACUCGUUCUACUCCUAGCUGGCUAGAAAAGGCUUUUCCCAUCACAUCUGAACUUAAAAGUGUCUUUUUUAAGUGCAGAGUGACUGGCCAAGCCAGGAGGGCCUUUCAGGCUGUCUCGUUGCAGUGGGUGCUGAGGUGGGCUGAGCUCGGGGCACCCCCGGAUUUGGCAACCCCCAGCCAGGAGCCACUCGCCUGCUGCUCUGUGUGGGGCCGUGCUGGGCAGGGGCCAGCUGGGUCCUGCUGCCGAGGGGGGAGACCGGAGCAGCUCCAAGCCAGGAAACAGCAAAUAUCGGUGUCCCUUGGGGCUGGGCAGAGCAUCCAUCACAGCACAACAUCGUCAGGAGCAGCGACACAGCCAGAGCGCUGCCACGCGCGGCACCGCAGCCAUCCCUGGCUGUCCCCGGCGAGGGACGCAGUAAAUUGCAUUUGUUGUGUUAAAAAAAAGAGAGUGCUUCCAGCCCAGGGGACUGCUCGCAGCAGCUGCCAGGCAGAUAAUAUAGCAAAUAUUGCCAGUUUUCUCUGAUAAAAUAUAAUCACAGCCUAUUUCAGCCGCAGUGAUGGGAGAGGGGGAAAAGCAAGCGUCACCUUCCAGCCUUGUUCCUGCAUGCUCACACUGACACACAGGUACUUUUGCUCUCUUAAUUUCCAUCUCUACUUUCUGCAAGUUACUGAGCUGCUGCAGGAGCUGGCAGCAAGGCAGUGGGUUUUCACAGGAAGACCCUCGAUUUGCUGUAGCUGCUGCAUCCUGACUCCAGCUAAGGACAAGGCUCGGCUCGUCCUGCAGCCCCAGCUCAUCCCGCUGCUCCGGCUCGUCCUGCUGCCCACCCUCCGCUUUCAGUUUUCCAGGUAACAACUUUUCUGCAAAUACAUGUUCAAAUUUUUCAAGGAAGGUGCCUGGGCUCUUACUGCCCCUGUGACACCCAUUUGCAGGUGAGGGUGCAGCACGUGUGGGUCAGGGCGGGAAGCAGUGGGAGCCCCAGUGGGAACCAGCCCAGGGCACAUCACCCAGCACGGCUGGGCACAAUCACCAAUUACCUCCCCAAAAAAGGGGGCUGCUCAUUCACCCUGGAUCAGAAACAGGAUGACCUGCUGGCAUGCUGGGCACCGAAGAGUUUUCCCAGCAUCUUUGGAUGACUGGUUUUCCCUGGUGAGACAUUUGGCCAGUGCUGGAAGUUCACUUGACACCAAGGAUGAAGAGCUGCAGGAAGGGAGUAAGUAGAAAAUUAUGAAAAAUAGAGAAUGACAAACAUCAGAAUAAUUAAUAAUGCAGCAAGAGGUAAUUAAUUAUCUCUAUGCUGUGCUGCCUGGUUAUUGAUUUAAGUGUGUUUUCGGUCUAGGUGGCACUGACUCUUUCAGGAUUUUAUCCGUGUUUUUCCAUCUUCCCUUUGUUAAAGCCCGCUGUGCUGCAGGUUGGUGCGGGACUCGCAGUCUCCUGGACUGGGAAUAGUCCCGUAUUUCCCUGGCACAGACUGUCCCACACCAGCACUGGGCUCUUCUGUGUCUUUCAGCACAGACGUGGCCAUGCAUGUUAAGAUCAGACUGUAGGGACAGAAAAAUAAGCCACGGCUGAACCCUGGGAAUAUCAGCACGGAUGUGGUCACAUUGCAUCCCUUGCUAGUGCAGUGAUGUCAGAGACAGCAGAUGUCUCUGUUACUGCCCAAUUUAACAGUGUCUAAUGAGGUCACUUCCAUAAAAGAGGCAAUUAUUUCCUGGGAGCCAUUUGCUAACAUAAUUAAGUCUGCUUUUAUGCCUGGUUUUAGCAACUGGCUGAGAGCAGGGCUCCUGACAAGCAAAGCAAGGAGGGACCGAUUCAGCCAUCACCACCGCGAUGUGCUGGUCCAUCCCAAACAGGAGCUUUUCGCUUUCUUUUUUCCCAGGAAUCGGUCAGGUCGGCUCUGCCUGGAUCCGACCAGCAGCCUCUGCAUCAGGAACUGAGUUUCCCCAGUAGCUGCUGGUUUGGGCUGGAGCGGUGAUGUCGGGGGUCCCCACCAGCUCGGGCUCAGCCGUUCCCAGGAGCAGCGCGGGAUGUGGAGCAGCUUCGCCUGCGGUACUCGCUCAGCCUGGCUGGCACCGGGGCUUCGGGCAGCCAAACAAUUCACCGCCCUGAUUUGCUCGCACAUGUUCACCUGUGGCUGCAGCUGCUCCUGUGCCCUGGCCUGGUUUUUCAUCCUAUUUCCCCAGAGAAGCACCAGAAAAGGCCGUUCCAGGGAUACAUCACGUGCAAUGUCAUUUGUAAGCGUAAAAGAUGGGUUUUGAUGACUUGUCAUAUCUGGUAACUUGGAGGCAAUGGAGCCUGGAGGAGUUUCUUCUUUUUUUUUUUUUUCUUAGAAAAUCGACUUAGUACAGAUGUCACUCUGAGCAGGUUUUUUUAAAUAAAUAGGAAAGGGCUGUGCCCCAGAGGCCAUCCCGCUCCUUUUCCCAAACCUGACGGGUGAAACACAACCACGAGCAUCUGCCAGAUCAGAGCAGCCGCAGAAACAACAGCUCCAGCCCUUCCUGCUCAAGCGCAGCUUUAAUUAAAAAAUAAACUGUCAGACACCAUAAAAAAUUAAAACUUAAAUGCCUUCAA